rnacentral:lncRNA from 13 species
CAGCAGCAGCAGCAGCAGCAGCAGCGAUAACAACUGAGUCAAAGUUCCAGUUUCUCGCCGGGUGUGCGUGGUCAAGGAACAGAGAGAGAGAGAGAGAGAGAAAGAAAGAAAGAGGACUGGCUCGUCGUCAUGACGACGUGACGCAACGAUCGCGUCAUCAUCGAGGGAUAGAACGGAUAGAACGAAAGGUCGACGAACCUCCAGCAUUGAAGCAGCAUUCGUUCCGACCAGACGCAGCGACUCUGCUUGACUGGCGGUGGUGGUUGGUUGACUGGACACAGAUGGGGUGAAUGGGGGGAUGCGAUGCGAUGCGAUGCGGCACGGUAGCGGCGGAUUUGCCUCUCUCUCUCUCUCUCGCACUCCCUCCUUCUCUCCCUCCAUUGUUCUCGAUACCAUCGAUUUGACUUGAGCUCGAUGUCCUUGCUAUGACGUCGACGAAACGUAUGCAUCAUUCAAUACGUGCAUCAACGACUGCAACAUUAAAUCUUGUUUAAUGUGUUAUUAUUAGAUCCGAGCAAAUUUUUUGAUCGAGUAAAUAAUAAGCAAUUGCAAAUUUAUCUAUUUGGACGAAGAUGUAAAUACAAAGUACAGUGUCAAAGAAAACACACACACACACACAUACACACACACACACACGCACACGCACGCACACACACUUACACAUGUACAGAUACCCUCUGUCAUCGAAAUAAUAAAUCUAUGACAAUAA